UCACUAAUAGACAAUCUAACUCUACGAAAGUGUAGAGGUAGCAACUUGCGAAAUUGUAAUUGAAUUUAAAAGCAAUAACGUACUCAACGAAAUUAAACUUGAACAACGAAGUUUUAGGGUUAAAGAACUUGCCUUGAGCACAAGCUAAACCUUACAACUCGAAUCUCAAUACCCUAUAUAUACGUCAUCAUGACAUAAUUAGUUACCACCAACAUUCUAUAUAUAUAAUCAAG
rnacentral:lncRNA from 1 species